GUACAUCUGACGAAUCCUGAACAGGACGAAACGCGCGUCAUAGAU
rnacentral:hammerhead_ribozyme from 1 species